GUCUACGGCCAUACCGCGUUGAAAGCACCAGUUCUCGUCCGAUCACUGAAGUUAAGCAACGUCGGGCUCGGUUAGUACUUGGAUGGGUGACCGCCUGGGAACACCGAGUGCUGUAGACUCCC
rnacentral:rRNA from 1 species